rnacentral:tRNA from 1 species
UGGCUCAGUGGUAGAGUGCUUGCCUUGCAUGCAUGAGAGCCUGGGUUCGAUUCCCCAG